rnacentral:rRNA from 1 species
CGGGAGGCAGCAGCAGUGAGGAAUAUUGCACAAUGGAGGAAACUCUGAUGCAGCAACGCCGCGUGGAGGAUGACGCAUUUCGGUGUGUAAACUCCUUUUAUGAGUCAAGAAAAUGACGGUAGCUCAUGAAUAAGCACCGGCUAACUCCGUGCCAGCAGCCGCGGUAAUACGGAGGGUGCAAGCGUUACUCGGAAUCACUGGGCGCAAAGGACGCGUAGGCGGGAUAUCAAGUCAGGUGUGAAAUCCUACAGCUUAACUGUAGAACUGCACUUGAAACUGGUAAACUAAAGUAUGGGAGGGGGAGAUGGAAUUAGUGGUGUAGGGGUAAAAUCCGUAGAUAUCACUAGGAAUACCUAAAGCGAAGGCGAUCUCCUGGAACAUAACUGACGCUAAGGCGUGAAAGCGUGGGGAGCAAACAGGAUUAGAUACCCUUGUAGUC